GCAUUCUCCGGUAAGCAAUUCGAAAUAAGAACUGUAAGAAUACCUAUUGUUUGUAGAUUUCUGUCGAUAUUUUGUUUUUUCUUGCUCAUUCCACAAGUUCUACAGGGACUUUGUUCAUCUUUGUACUAUACGCGCUAUAUGUUUGGGAACAAUUGCUAGAAAACCCAAGGAAUAUGUUUCGAAGUCAAAAAAAAAAAAUGAAGGACAAAAUAGCUGUUGCUUAGUUCUGUAGCGGCACUCGACGGUAAAAUUCAUAACGGUUUCCGUCCAGUAAACCCGCUACGCAAAAACCGUGUUUACCGAUAGAUUAAUUUAUCAUAGAUCCGACAACAUUAGGCGGUUACCGAAGGUCAAUCAAAAUCCGUCGUUUUUGUCGUGAUCAUAUGCCUUCGCUUCGACUACCCGAAAAGUCAAAAUUCGUAAACAAGGUCGAGAGUUCAGCGACCGUUGGGAUCUUUCGAGAACACCCUCGAAAUUAAAAUCCCGACGCCUUUUAUCAACUCCUACGGUUAUAAAUAUAGCGAAUAGGGAAGCGAGGCAACCUUUUGUUAUCGAGUGACACGAGCAGUAACAGCUAAAUUGAUACUUCCCCUGCGCCGAUAUAUUCCUAAUCACGAAUCAAGCCAGCAAGUUGUGUUAUACGGCUAGUGUACACGUAGGGUAUACAUUAAUAAAUUAUAUUGUUAAACAUACUCCAGUGUUUCUAAACUUUCUAUCGCCUGCAUACACCUCAGUUCUGAUGACUUUUAACCCAUUAGAUGCAAUUCCGUAUAACUAGCAUUUGAUUACAGGUCCCCGAUCCUAAUUCAAAAUUUAUUGACAGGGAAAUGAACUGUGGAGGAUGAAACAUGGUACAGUAAAAAACGUAAAACUAAAGAUAAUAAAUGGAAACUAUUUUUCAGAAUGUUGCUCUUGACAACACAUUUCAAUGUCAUUGAAAUCGACGAUCGUUCGCUAUGUAAAUAAUUUCUGCAUAAUCUUCUUCUUUAAGAGAAUUUGUAAGAGUUGAACGAUCGAUUUGUCGUUCCUGAUUAGUCGUUUGAGAUCCUUUACAUUCAUUCAUACCGGGUAAUGAAUAUUUUAAUCGAUUUUAAAUAUUAAUAAGUAACGAACAGAAAUUGAAACGCAAUUCUAUUAUUCUUUAUUUUCGUUUUAUUUUUUAUACUGUGUAUAACUCUGUUAUAGAGUAUUGAGAAAUAAAUGUUGGUUCUAUACAAUAGGAGAAACAUUUAAUAAAUAAGAUACAGUGAAUAUUAUGAAAAUUAUUUUGUAUCACCCACGUUUCAGCUGCUCGAUUACCAUUUUUCCGUUUUUCUUAUUAUUAUCUUAUUAUUUCAUUAUUACCAAUCUAACAUAAUUACUAAAUGUUAUUCAAUAAUUCUAUUUUACAAUCUGUGCGCUAUAACAUUAAUAUCCGUUGAAAAUUUCAGCUGCAUUAAAUUCCUUAACUUUUUAAUAUCAUUGGUAAUUUAUUCCUUAAACUCCAAAUUACUUCUCAAUCUUAUACAAUGAAUAUGUAGUUUGUUGUUUUGUAUCGUAAUAUACGGGUAUUGUUUCAACGACUUUUAUCGAAUAAAUCUAUUUUUAAUUCAACAUCGCAAUCAGAAGUCUUUUCCACUCAGCAGUGCAAU